CGUAGGGGGCGAGCGUUGUCCGGAUUUAUUGGGCGUAAAGCGCGCGUAGGCGGCCCGUUAAGUCGGAUGUGAAAAUCCGGGGCUCAACCCCGGACCUGCAUUCGAUACUGGCGGGCUAGAGGCAGACAGGGGAGAGUGGAAUUCCUGGUGUAGCGGUGAAAUGCGCAGAUAUCAGGAGGAACACCGGUGGCGAAGGCGGCUCUCUGGGUCUGUCCUGACGCUCAGGCGCGAAAGCUAGGGGAGCAAACAGGAUUAGAUACCCUGGUAGUCCUAGCCGUAAACGUUGGGUGCUAGGUGUGGGGCGGCGAUUGACUCGCUCUGUGCCGUAGCUAACGCAUUAAGCACCCCGCCUGGGGAGUACGGCCGCAAGGCUA
rnacentral:rRNA from 1 species